CCCGCUGAACUUAAGCAUAUCAAUAAGCGGAGGAAAAGAAACUAACAAGGAUUCCCUUAGUAACUGCGAGUGAAGUGGGAAAAGCUCAAAUUUAAAAUCUGGCAGUCUGAAUUUACUUCUUUGGCUGUCCGAGUUGUAAUCUAGAGAAGUGCUACCUGUACUGGACCAUGUACAAGUCUCCUGGGAUGGAGCAUCACAGAGGGUGAGAAUCCCGUCUAUGACAUGGACUACCAGUGUGUUGUGGAGUACUUUCAAAGAGUCGAGUUGUUUGGGAAUGCAGCUCUAAAUGGGUGGUAAACUCCAUCUAAAGCUAAAUAUUGGCGAGAGACCGAUAGUGAACAAGUACCGUGAGGGAAAGAUGAAAAGGACUUUGGAAAGAGAGUUAAACAGUACGUGAAAUUGUUGAAAGGGAAACACUUGAUGUCAGUUGUGUUAGCUGGGGAUCAGCCUAGCUUUUUUGCUUGGUGAAUUUCCUGGUUUGACAGGCCAACAUCAGUUUCGACUGCUGGAGAAAGGCAGAUGGAAUGUGGCACCUUUGGGUGUGUUAUAGCUUUCUGUCAGAUGUAGCAGUUGGGACUGAGGUAUGCAGUGCGCCGUAAGGCAGGGUUUCGACCACACUCGCACUUAGGAUGUUGGUUUAAUGGCAUCAAUUGACCCGUCUUGAAACACGG
rnacentral:rRNA from 1 species